rnacentral:rRNA from 1 species
CCUACGGGUGGCAGCAGUGAGGAAUAUUGGUCAAUGGCCGAAAGGCUGAACCAGCCAAGUCGCGUGAAGGAAGAAGGAUCUACGGUUUGUAAACCUCUUUUAUCGGGGAACAAAGCUAUCCACGUGUGGCUCAUUGCAAGUACCCUAUGAACAAGCAUCGGCUAACUCCGUGCCAGCAGCCGCGGUAAUACGGAGGAUGCGAGCGUUAUCCGGAUUUAUUGGGUUUAAAGGGUGCGUAGGGUGUUUUGUAAGUCAGCGGUCAAAGUGCCGGGCUCAACCCGAGCAUUGCGGUUGAAACUGGAAGACUUGAGUGUGGGUGAGGUAUGCGGAAUGCGUGGUGUAGCGGUGAAAUGCAUAGAUA